ACAGCGUAAUAACUACUAUACUAUUCUUUAAAAUAUAAAAAAUAAAUUACAUUCACCGAUAUACAUAUAUAAAGUUGAUAUUACGUGGGACUUUUAACUAUUUUCUGCCCAUAUUCUUCAAUUAUACAUGUGCGUAUUAAUAUUUCCUCCUAUUUAUUCCCUUUUUUAUUUUGUUUUAAACAAUACUACAACAAUUACAAUUAUAAACAAAAUUUAUUUUUUAAUUAUUAAAUAUCUGAUAUAUCUAAACUGUAAUAUAGACAAAAUACAUCAGUUAUUCAAUAAAUCUAAAAAAUAAAUUUAUGUUUUUAACUAUGACUGGGGAAAGUAGUAUAUUUAAUUUAUUAAAAUUACAAGUAUAGAAACCCCCAAUUGUAAACCAAGAAUCAAAGCAUGAUUUUGGUUAUGCAGUAUGAAUCAGUAUACAAGGAAGUUAAAUUAAAAAAUAUAUCACAAGAAAUAUUAACCGUGGCCUUCACCUUAACAACAUUAAUCAAAUGCACUUUUCCAUAAAGUGUUGCCUUAGCUGUAAAAUUGAAAGAUCCAUCUUC
rnacentral:lncRNA from 1 species